rnacentral:rRNA from 1 species
CACGUAGGGCGCAAGCGUUGUCCGGAAUUAUUGGGCGUAAAGAGCUCGUAGGCGGUCUGUUGCGUCCGCUGUGAAAACUCGGGGCUUAACCCCGAGCCUGCAGUGGAUACGGGCAGACUAGAGGUAGGUAGGGGAGAAUGGAAUUCCCGGUGUAGCGGUGAAAUGCGCAGAUAUCGGGAGGAACACCAAUUGCGAAGGCAGCUCGCUGGGACGUUACUGACGCUGAGACGCGAAAGCUAGGGGAGCGAACGGG